ensembl:lncRNA
GUGCAAAAGAGUUAGCAGGGGAAGUAGUCCUCAUGUUUGUGAUACCACCAAAAGCUUCAAUUAUUUUUAUAGUUAAAAAGUUGAAGGUGUCUCUGGCAACCUUUCAAGUCUCUUACUGGAUGAAGGAAAUAUUUUAACACUCACUAAAGUUUUCACAUCUAUGUCUUUGUUUAAUAUUUUGAGGAUUCCUUUGCUUGAUUUACCGCUGGUGAUCUCAGCAGUGGUCCAGGGCUCUGUGGCUUAUGUUUCCCAGCAGGCCUGGAUUUAGAAUUGCAUUUUGCAGGAAAGCAUUCUCUUUGGCUCUGUCAUGCAAAACCAGUUUUACAAGAGAAUAUUGGAAGCCUAUGCUCUCCUUCUUGAUUUGGAGCAGUUACCAAGUGGAUGGAUAUCAAGCUGCGAUUGCAGAAAGAGGUCUCCGUUGACUUACCCGCGGGCCGGGACAGUAACCAGUCAGGCUGUGGGAGAUAUUGGGCAGCAUUGAGAGAGUGGAUGAAGAAGAGGAUGGGAAUAUAAAUGGGGGCCAGAAGCAUGGUGUAAGUAUGUAUAGAGUCAGGCUGACAUCUACCUCCUAGAUGAUCCCCUGUCUGUAGUUGAUGCGCAUGUGGGAAAGCAGCUUUUGAUAUAGUGAUUGGAUCCUCGGCCCUUUUCCAAAACAAGGAAUGACAAAGAUUUUUGAAUGUCUGACCAUAAAACUGUAUGAUUUCUUCACAAUAUGUGUCAAUGUUUGCUAAUAUUGAGCAUUCUGGAAAAAAUGGUGUAUAAAAGUAUAAGAUAUAUUUAAAGAAGAAAUAUUUAAAUGUCUU